rnacentral:sRNA from 1 species
UGAAGAUCGCCAUCUCAGAGGCCGAGCAGUCUGGGGCUGCUGAGGGCACUGCGUCUGUCAGCCCCCGGCCCCCAAUCCGCCAGUGGCGAACUCAGGACCACAAUACCCCAGCACCUCUCCCUAAGCCCUCUCUGGGCCGAAGCUACUCCUGCCCUGAUCUGGGGCCCCCUGGCCCAGGUUGGGUUCAACCAAAGGGAAGGAGCCAAGAGCCUCAAAGGACCAGGUGCUUUCAGACCCUGAGACCAAGACCACGGGAAAGGUUUCUCGAUUCAGAAUACGCAGAACACCAGCCCGUCCUCAGCUAAACCUUACACCAAUGGGACUGCCUCGACCAAUCAGGUUGAACAAGAAAGAGUUCAGCUUGGAAGAAAUUUACACCAACAAGAAUUACCAAUCACCCACAACCAGGAGGUGAGACAC